rnacentral:rRNA from 1 species
UGCCGCGUGUGUAGAGAAGGCCUUUUGGUUGUAAAGCACUUUAAGCGAGGAGGAGGAGCUCUUGGUUAAUACCCAAGAUGCUUGGACGUUACUCGCAGAAUAAGCACCGGCUAACUCUGUGCCAGCAGCCGCGGUAAUACAGAGGGUGCAAGCGUUAAUCGGAUUUACUGGGCGUAAAGCGCGCGUAGGUGGCCAAUUAAGUCAAAUGUGAAAUCCCCGAGCUUAACUUGGGAAUUGCAUUCGAUACUGGUUGGCUAGAGUAUGGGAGAGGAUGGUAGAAUUCCAGGUGUAGCGGUGAAAUGCGUAGAGAUCUGGAGGAAUACCGAUGGCGAAGGCAGCCAUCUGGCCUAAUACUGACACUGAGGUGCGAAAGCAUGGGGAGCAAACAGGAUUAGAUACCCUGGUAGUCCAUGCCGUAAACGAUGUCUACUAGCCGUUGGGGCCUUUGAGGCUUUAGUGGCGCAGCUAACGCGAUAAGUAGACCGCCUGGGGAGUACGGUCGCAAGACU